GUCAUAAACCUUGACAUACUACACAUGUCCGCCAGAGUACUACAAGUGAAAAACUUAAAACUCAAAGGACUUGACGGUGUCCCACACCAACCUAGAGGAGCCUGUCCUAUAAUCGAUACCCCACGAAGCACCUUACCUUCCCUAGCACAUUCAGCCUAUAUACCGCCGUCGUCAGCCUACCUUAUGAGAGUCAUCUAGUAGACAAAAUUGUUAAGCCACAAAAACGUCAGGUCAAGGUGUAGCAUAUGGAAAGGAAAGAGAUGGGCUACAUUUUCUGACAAGAAAAAACUAACAACACAAUGAAAAAGUGCUCUACGGUGGAUUUAGCAGUAAGCCGGGUAAGCAAGCUCAG
rnacentral:rRNA from 1 species